GCUAAAAAGUCUGCUAAUAAACAGUUCAAAGUUAUGUACAUUAAAUAAUAUUUUAUUACUAAAACUAAGAAAAACGAGAUGAAAAGCAAAUAUAAAAGAGAAUUAUUUACAACCACAAAGUACUUAUAUAUAAUUAGGAAAUUUACAACACAUAACCGUUACAGAGAACUAUCUCUGUGUUACUAUAUACAAUCUCAAGGUAUAUAGGUAAUGACUGAAGCUGCUGAAGGGAGUGCGGGAUGGCUUCAGCAGUUUUAAAGAUAUCCAUCAAGUGAUUAAUAAAAAUAAAUCUUUGAAGAGUAAAACUGUUACAAGUAAAGAAAAUGUGAUCCAAGGUUUGUUCAGAAUGAUUACAGUAAUUACAAACGGGUGAAGACAAUAUAUUCAAUCUAUGAAGAUGAGCAUUAAAUCGACAGUGACCAAGUCUAAGACGGCAAAUAGUAGAAUAAAAUUUCCUGUCAUGAAAUGAAACACCUUUAGUAAACCAUGGGACUGACAA